UGGGGGAUAUUGCACAAUGGGCGAAAGCCUGAUGCAGCGACGCCGCGUGAGGGAAGACGGUCUUCGGAUUGUAAACCUCUGUCUUUGGGGAAGAAAUCAGACGGUACCCAAAGAGGAAGCUCCGGCUAACUACGUGCCAGCAGCCGCGGUAAUACGUAGGGAGCGAGCGUUGUCCGGAAUUACUGGGUGUAAAGGGAGCGUAGGCGGGCUUGUAAGUUGAAUGUCUAAUCCACCGGCUCAACCGGUGAUCGCGUUCAAAACUGCAGGUCUUGAGUGAAGUAGAGGCAGGCGGAAUUCCUAGUG
rnacentral:rRNA from 1 species